UUAUAAUUUUUAUUUGUAUCAUUUUCUGUCACAAAACGGACUGAUUAAUAUAAUUACAGUAUUUCAUACAUUCAACACAUUUAUAACCAAAUCUUGAUGUAUGGUUGCUUACAUGGAUAAAUUAAAUAACUUUAUAAAUCCUACAUCUCCAACUUUCCACUUACAACAGUACGGUGCAGUAUCGGUCAUUUUUAUUUGUUUUUUUUUUCAAUUCUGAGCAAAUAGAGAACUUAACUACCUAUAUUUAUAAAAUACUAAUAUCCCAUAGACCUUUCCCCUCCGUCUAUAGAGGUAUAUAUAAUUGAAUAAAAUUCCUCUAACAGGUCCCUUAAGUUCCUAACCAAGUCUGCCUAUCAUAUUAUAUAAUCAAUGCUUAUAUUUUAUAAUAUUGUUAUCUAUCUCAGUAUCUUAAUUCGUGAUGAAAUCUGAUAACUCAGUAAUUCUGUACACAAAACAUUGCACAAAUGCACAUUUAGCGUUUUCGAACCUGCUUUAUUACUUUUGUAGUUUCACUAAGAAUUUGAUUCUGUAUUGAAAUAUUACUUACGCGGAAUUAUCCUGCAUUAUAUUUUAUUUAAAACAAUUUCUGUUUUUCAUUUUUCGAUUAAAAAUGCCCAGCUGUAUUUGUUACAGCUCAAGAAAUGCUAAUUCAAAAAAUGCAAACAUCUCUUUUCAUAAGUAAGUACCAUCAGUAACAAACUAAUAACAGUUAUUUGACUAUGAGCAGCUUUAUUAAUAUGACUUUUACAUUAAAAUAAUAAUACAUUUUUAUUUUAGGUUUUCGGUAAAAAAACAUAUAGGCAAAAUGGUUAAAUUUUGUAAAAAAAAAAAUAGACCAAACAUCACAGAUAUUACUAAAAACAGUUUGAUCUGUUCAACUCAUUUUGACUCUGCAUGUUUUAUUUUUAAUUAAAACAAAUAAAAGUAGUAUUUCAAAACUGCUGUUCCAACUUGUAUUAAGAGUAAACAAUGUAAGUAUUGGUGUUAUGUGCAAUACUAAAAAAUAACUAAACAUUUAGAAUUCUUUUACUGAAUUAUUCAUUUUUAGGCUAAACCAGAUAACUCAGAAUUAAUUAAAUUUGUUCUGCCUGAAGUUUCAAAUUCUAAUGCACAUAGUACAAGUGACAACCGUGUUUGGUUUUAAAUAAUUGUAGUCAAGGUAGAUAAAAAUAUUUUAUUUUUAUUGUUUCACAUAUUUAUAAAUUGUUCUUAUUUCCUUUAAAUAAUAAUUAUUACCUCUUUUAUUUUAGUUACCUCUAUAUGAAUCAAAUGUCGAAGAAACUUUGAAUAUUUCGUUGAUAUCUGUAGAUGCCCAAGACACUUCGAAAAAUGAAAAUGUGUAUGUUUAGAUACCUAUCUAAUUACUGAAAUAUUUUUAAAAAUAUAUAUAAUUUUGUUUCUUACAAAGU
rnacentral:lncRNA from 1 species